rnacentral:rRNA from 1 species
AUUGAACGCUGGCGGCAUGCUUUACACAUGCAAGUCGAACGGCAGCGGGGUAGUGCUUGCACUACUGCCGGCGAGUGGCGAACGGGUGAGUCAUAUAUCGGAACGUACCGAGUAAUGGGGGAUAACCAAUCGAAAGAUUGGCUAAUACCGCAUACGUCCUGAGGGAGAAAGCGGGGGAUCGCAAGACCUUGCGUUAUUCGAGCGGCCGAUAACUGAUUAGCUAGUUGGUGGGGUAAAGGCCUGCCAAGGCGACGAUCAGUAGCGGGUCUGAGAGGUCGAUCCGCCACACUGGGACUGAGACACGGCCCAAACUCCUACGGGAGGCAGCAGUGGGGAAUUUUGGACAAUGGGGGCAACCCUGAUCCAGCCAUGCCGCGUGUAUGAAGAAGGCCUUCGGGUUGUAAAGUACUUUUGUUAGGGAAGAAAAGGGAAGUGCUAAUACCACUUUUUGCUGACGGUACCUAAAGAAUAAGCACCGGCUAACUACGUG